rnacentral:lncRNA from 1 species
AAAAUAAAAUCAAAAGCAAAAAUGUGGUUAAAAUAAAAAUAGUAAAAUAAAAUGGUCAAAGAAAAUAAAUAAAAAUAAAUGAAUAAAAAAAGGGUGUAAGAUCCAAAUAGGAUCUGCACAAAAGAAAAAGAAAAAAAAAACGUACAAGGCCCUAAAUAUUGAGGCCCAUUAAUUUUCAGCUUGUUCUAGGGGUUGCAUGAAGUAAAACUUAGGCAUGAUCAGUAAAAAAAAAUGCCCAUUGACAAACUGAGCCCAAAAC